rnacentral:rRNA from 1 species
UGAUCCUGGCUCAGAAUGAACGUUGGCGGCGUGGAUUAGGCAUGCAAGUCGAGGGAGAACCCGCAAGGGGGACACCGGCGAACGGGGUAGGAUCAUCUCGGUGACGUACCCUCCGGACGGGGAUAGCCACGGGAAACUGUGGGUAAUACCCGAUGACCUGGCAGGCGAUUAGGGCUUGUCAGCAAAGGUGAGAUUCCACCGGAGGAGCGGCUGAGACGCUAUUAGCUUGUUGGUGAGGUAAUGGCUUACCAAGGCGACGAUGGCUAGGGGGUGUGAGAGCAUGGCCCCCACACUGGCACUGAGACACUGGCCAGACACCUACGGGUGGCUGCAGUCGAGAAUCUUCGGCAAUGGGCGCAAGCCUGACCGAGCGACGCCGCGUGCGGGAUGAAGGUCUUCGGAUUGUAAACCGCUGUCGGAGGGGAUGAAGUGUAUGGGAGCAAUCUCCUGUAUUUGACAGAGCCUCGGAGGAAGCACGGGGCUAAGGUUCGUGCCAGCAGCCG